UACGUAUGGGGCAAGCGUUAUCCGGAUUCAUUGGGCGUAAAGAGCGCGUAGGCGGCUUGGUAAGUCAGAUGUGAAAACUGGGGGCUCAACCCGCAGCCUGCAUCUGAAACUUCCAGGCUUGAGUCUGGUAGAGGAAAGUGGAAUUCCUAGUGUAGCGGUGAAAUGCGCAGAUAUUAGGAGGAACACCAGUGGCGAAGGCGGCUUUCUGGGCCACGACUGACGCUGAGGCGCGAAAGCUAGGGGAGCAAACAGG
rnacentral:rRNA from 1 species